CUGUAGUUUAAAUACAUGUUUUAAAAACACCUGCCUAAACUCCCUCCGCCAUCCCCCGGCCCCACUUUUUCUAUCGCACAGCCCCUUUGAAAACCUUGCUGUGAAACAGUUCCCAGGUCCUCCUCUUCUUGGUAAGAGCAGUCGGCAGUACGUGUCUUAAAAGGCUGUGCCCCCAGCCAAAAUAAAUAAAUAAAUAAGUAAAAUCAAAAUAAAGUAUACAGUGCGUUAGAUUAUAAUCGCCAUGGAAAAACACAAGGUGAGAGGAGCACGGACGCUCACCGGAACCCAGUCUCUCCCACUUGGCCGUUCUCUUCCGUACAUUUUUGUCAUUAAAUGUGUAACUCAAGUGAAGGAUUUUUACUGUAUUUGCUAUAUUUGUUACGCAUUAGUUUUGCUUCCAACAGCAGUUGAAGCAGUCGGCACUCUCCAAACACAGGCUGCACAGCUUGCAGACAGGAGGUUUCUGGAACGUGCAGGCUGUUGUUGGACGUGGACAAUGAGGACCAGCUUUGCAUCUGUGUGUGAGAGCAAACACCGAGCUUCCUAAGAUUCUGUGUCCUCAGGGGCCGUUAGUGGAGAUGAGGUUCUAGGUCUGUCCCCACACGCCUCCCUUUGGCAUUGCUGUGGUCGUCUGCAGCUUUGAGUCAUUUUAAAGUUAAUUAGCGUGCUUCUAGGGAUGUUGGAAAAAAAAUGUUAAAAUCAUCACACAAAUCUCCAGGGAAAAAAACCUAUCUAAAAGACAAUUGAAAAAUAAAAUCUUUAGGGGCUUGCUCAUUUGGUUAAGGCUCAGACUUCGGAUCAGGGCCUGAUCUCACAGUUGGUAAGUUCGAGCCCCACGUCAGGCUCUGUGCUGACAGCUCGGAGCCUGGAGCCUGAUUCGGAUUCUGUGUCUCCCUCUCUCUCUGUCCUUCCCCUGCUAGCGUUCUCUCUCUCUCUCUCUCUCUCUCUCUCUCUCUUUCAAAAAUAAACACUAAAAAAUACACCCACACACAUAUAUAUGUAUAAAAUCUUUAAAAAUCUUUAAAAAUGACUAAAUAAAUAAAAGUCAACACAUUUCUGCCAGAACUUUCUUCUCUCUUCCCCAGUGUCUUCUCCCUUUGCUCACUUGGCUGUUAACCCUUCACGGUAGUAAAUCUUAGCUGUGACUAUAUUCCGGGUCCAGGAGGCCCUCCCAGUGAAACUUUUCACCAUGUUGGUCUCGGGGAUUCCCCACACAGUCACUGUUUAAAGGCUCCUGUCCCCUGCAGAUUCUUUCUUUCUUUCUUUUUUUAAUUUAAGAAUAGCAAAUGUGUUCCUUUUCUGGUGUUGCUGUAUUAAUGGACAUCUGAGGUCUCCAUAGCUGUUCGUCUCUUAUGUUUCCACCUGUUCUUGCUCAUGACCAGGCUUCCUAGUGCACUUGGCUGCAUUCUCUGUGAACCACUUACUGUCUUUAUUAUUUUUUUAAUUUUUGUAACGUUUAUUUAUUUUUGAGAAAGUGAGAGAGAGAGAGAGAGAGAGAGAGAGAGGAGAGACAGCGUGAGUGGGGGAGGGGCAGAAAGAGAGGGAGACACAGAAUCCGAAGCAGGCUCCAGGCUCUGAGACAUCAGCACAGAGCCCGACGCGGGGCUCGAACCCACGGACCAUGAGAUCAUGACCUGAGCCAGAUGCUUAACUGACUGAACCACCCAGGUGCUCCAGCCACUUACUGUCUUUAAAAAAUUAUUUGUGGAGAUUCGUUGAGGAAGACGUUUUCUUUCAGAGACAAUUUGCUUUUGUUUCUGUCAGAAGCCCGGGGUAAAACUAGGGUCUGGACAACUUAGGGUCAAUUCUCAGCUUAUGGUUCUUCUGGACCACCUAGGCGACAGGAAUUUGGGCUGGAAAUUUGGGCACUGUUUGCUUACAGGUUUUCAAGGCUUCACAUCUUCUCUUUCUGCUCCGGGCUUCUUUUUGUUUCUCUUCUAUCUUGGAGUCGGUGCUUCUGGUAUUUUGUGCCUUUCCCUUCCUUAGGAGUUUAUUCCAUCGCUUUGGUGGAACCAGCUGUCCGUUUGUUUCCCUAGAUAUAUGGAAGUGUGUAUUUUUUUCUGAAAGAUUUUUAAGUGUUUAUUUAUUUCUUUUGAGAAGGAGGGAGGGAGAGUGGGGGAGGGACAGAGAGAGAGGGAGAGAGAGUCCCAAGCAGACUCUAUAGUGUCAGUGUGGAGCCUGACUCCGGGCUCCAUCCCAAACUGUGAGAUCGUGACCCGAGCGGAAAUCAAGAAUUGGGCAGUCAACCAACUAAACCACCCAGGCGCCCUUGGAAGCAGGGAUUUUAUUUUAUUUUAUUUUAUUUUAUUUUAUUUUAUUUUAUUUUAUUUUAUUUUUAGAGAGAGAGAGACAGAGUAUGAGUGGGGGAGGUGCAGAGAGAGAAAGGGAGACAAAAUCUGAGGCAGGUUCCAGGCUCCAAGCCAUCAGCACAAAGCCAGACACGUGGCUCGAGCUCACGGACCAUGAGAUCAUGACCUGAGCCGAAGUCGGACGCUUAACUGACCGAGCCCCCCAGGCGCUCCAGAAGUAGGUGUUUUAAAGAACUUCCGUAGCCACAAAGUUUCUACCGUCAAGUUUGAUGGUUUGAACUGUAAAGAAUUCUGUUUACUUUUGUUUACAAUUUUGAAGUCAUCGUUCUAUCACUUUCUUGCUUUCAGUCUUAUGUCGAGAAAUCCAAGCCAUCCUGAUCCUGUGUCCUUCACCCUUUUUCUUCUUAUUCCAAUUCUCUUUAGCAGGGUGGCUGCUUCAGUGCCGUCACCUUGCGCUAAUUUGGCAGUGUUUCUCCGGAACUUCUGUUUCGCUCUGCUCCUCUGCGGGUGACAGCUCCUGGAUUCCUACAGCAGGUCCUUUCUCCCCGGCCUCGUAUUCCUUUCAUGCCUAAUUUGCUAUCGUCUUCGAGCACGGUGCAGGGGGUGGGCUUAGCUGAAGGUCAGGGGCACCGGCUGGGCUCCUCUGUCCCGCAGGACCCCGGGUCGGAGGCAGGAGGCCCCGCUCCUCCCCGGCAGAGGGAAAGGGAAGAGCUUCCCCACUCCUUGGAGCGCCAUUGGGUGUCAGUUCUGUUCCCCAAUCAGCAUGGGCCCCGAGGCUUCCCGCUGGUGACACGAAGCCAUGCCCCGAUGCUGAUGGUUCCCCGUGAGCCCUCAUCCCCACCUCAGCCAUUUUCACCGCCCCAUGGUCAACACUAAGAAAUACGCAAUUACUCCCUUUUAUCCUGUCAAGAUUUGAGCGAGAACUGCCAGGAUUUUGUAGACUCACCAGAUGUAGUUUCUGGGAGCUGGAGGCCUGACCUCACCGUGAUCCUCUCCAACUUCUGUUUUUCUUAUGAGCUAGCACUUUUCCAAGUUCAUUUCGUUGAGUGGUUCUCCUUUUCUUGUUUGGUUGCUGUUAGUAACUUUUACAUUUUUGUUUUCCGCCGGUCCCUCUUUUUCUUGGGGAGACGUGAGAGGGAGAGGGAAGUUUCUUUUGACUUUUUCUAGAUAGUGGGGCCCUGAAGAUUUCACCACCUUUAUCCGGAAUUUAAUGACACACAUUUUUUUUUUUUAAGUUUAUUUAUUUUUGACACAGAGAACGAGUGAGCGUGAGCUAGGGAGGGGUAGAGAGAGAGGGAGACACAGAAUCGGCAGCAGGCUCCAGGCUCUGAGCUGUCAGCACAGAGCCCGACGCGGGGCUCGAACCCACGAACCGUGAGACCGUGACCUGAGCUGAAGUCGGACGCUUAACUGACUGAGCCACCCGGGCGCCCCUAAUGACACACAUUUUUCAACUUUAGGUAGAUGUAUUGAACGUGUAGAAUAUACACCGUACAUUUUAAUAUUUAGAAUGCGGGCUUCACAUUUUUCAUCUCUUUCAAGUUAAAAAACACAAGUUACACGUGAUCCAUCUAUCAGGAUGCUUUAGCUUGCAAACAAAAAGACUAUUCAACUGCACCUAUUGCCAUGGUAAAAUUUUAUUGGCACAGGAAGGAGUAAACUCCAGAGGUAGGACAGCAUUUAGUGCAUUUUGAUACAAACUAUUUGACUUGGAAUAUAAGUCACAAAACGCGAAAUUCACCAUUUUAACUGUUUUAAAGGGUAGGGAUACCUUUUUCAAAGGGAACAACUCAACCCUAUUUGUCCUUUGAAGCAAGCUAAUUUUGAUAGGCCAGCGCUGCUGAAUCUCAGGGAUGCCCCCCACUGGUCACCUCUAUCAGCGAGAAUACCACGGAACAUGGAGAAAAAGCCUCCUUCUGCUGGAUUUCCUCCACCAAUUCGACUGGGAUGGGAAAGUGACCUUUUACCUGCAAAUGGCGGGCUUCCUCCUUUAUUCUGUUGUCAGUGAGGUUUCGAACAACAACAAUAAAAUAAUAAUGAAAUAAAUAAAUAAAUAAUACGAUAAUUAAAAAAAAGAGAAAAGUAACUUAAAGACUAAGGAUAGCACUUGAACUUGGAUUGCGUGGGUUUGUACACGGUGGUGAUAACACCGGUGGGGGCGAGAAAGCACAGGCAUUGUUCCGAGGCUUUCCCGGGCAUAUGUGUGGCUUCUCUGGGCACCUCUGACUUCUUAUUUUUAGUGACAUUCAAAUCAACAGACAAUUACUGUGUGCCUCUUAUUGCCAGGCAUGAUGCUAAGCACUGGAGAUUAAACAGGAUCAAUAUCUUGGGGCUCCUGGGUGGCUCAGUCGGUUAAGCCACUGACUUCGGCUCAGGUCAUGAUCUCAAGGUCUGUGAGUUCGAGCCCCACGUCGGGCUCUGUGCUGACAGCUCCGAGCCUGGAGCCUGCUUCCGAUUCUGUGUCUCCCUCUUUCUCUGCCCCUCCCUGCUCCUUCUCUCUCUCUCUCUCUCUCUCUCUCUCUCAAAACUAAGUAAACACUUUAAAAAUAAUAAAAACAUAAAAAAGAUCAAAUAUCUCAACAGGUGACAAAGUAUUUGCCUAAAAGGUUACCCUUUAAAAAUAUAAUUACUUAAUUGGAAUUCAAUUGCAAGUCAAUUUAGUUAACUGUAAAGCAACUAACUCGAGCAAUAUGACAUUAUUUUAGGAUAGUCUUCCAAUGCAAAGCAUUAAGUGUGUUGGCAUGUAAUCCUAUUAAAUAUUACUGCUCUGGGAAUCAUAGUCUAUUUUAAUGAAAAUAGAAAAUAAUACGCCUAGAAACAAACAACAGAAAUGAUAUUUUCUAGUUCAAAAUAUGUUUCAGCUCCACGAAUGGGCAUUCCCUGCUUGCUCGUGCGUCUAGCCUAUUGAUUGAUAAGGUUUGAAAACUUGACAGAUGUGUAUUUUCAGAUCUCACCUGGGGUUGAGGUCGCUACACUGAAACUCAGUUACGAAUGAAAACUUUUCAUGCUUUUCAUUUAUGCAGAUGGCCAACAGACACACGGAGAGAUGUUCACCAUCACUCGUCACCAGGGAAAUGUCAAUCGAACCACAAUGAGAUACCACCUCACACCUGUCAGAAUGGCUAAAAUUAACAACUCAGGAAACGACAGAUGUCGGCGAGGAGCUGGAGAAAGGGGAACCCUCGUGCACUGUUGGUGGGAAUGUAAACUGGUGCAGCCACUGUGGAAAACAGGGGAGAGGUUCCUCAAAAAAUUAAAAAGAGAACUACCCUAUGAUCCUGCAAUUCUGCUUCUGGGUAUCUAUCCAAAGCACACGAAAACACCGUCUCGAAAAGAUAGGUGCCCCCCCUGUUUGUUGGAGCAUGCUUUACUAUGGCCAAGAUAGCAUAGAUAAAGGAAUAUUACUCCGCCAUAAAAAAUAAUGGAACCUUGCCAUUUGCAAUGGCAUGGAUGGACCUCGGGGGCGUCAUGUUGAGUGAAGUAAGUCAGACAGAGAAAAAGAUACCUUGUUGAUCGAGCAUCAUACAGCAUUAACACUCGGGUCUAUUUCUGGCCUUUCUGUCCUGUUUCCUUCGUGGAUUCUCAGGUCUCAGAUUCUCCGGUUUGGCGUGGAGGACACGAAGGAGGGUGAGGGAGGGACAUGGUCCUCCAGUUCACGGCUAUCAAACAGAGAAGUGGGGCCGGUGUGGACACCCCGCCAUUCUCUAAUGGAGAUCUGCUUCGAGUGUUGCGUUUUUCUGAUGUUUCCGGUGUCCUACAGGAGGGUGUGUGGCUGAACAACGAGGACAGACUGCUCUACACUCUACGUCUUUGUAUAGACCCUGCUGGGCACGCGUACGUAUUAGAAGUGUGUUAAACCGUAACUUGUGACGUAGGAUGUGUUUAUGUCAGUGGCCAGUGGGUGUUGUCGUUUGAGUAACAGAUUUCACUUGCUUUCCUCCUUUUGGUGUUUGACAUUCUAGAGACCCCUUGAUAGGAACUGUACAUCGGAGCGACGUUUCUGUGAAACGAAACAGAUGCACCGACCACACGGAACCGAUCCUGUUUACCUUGCCCGCUGUUACGAGGACCGCGGCUUGCGAGGCAACGUAUAAACACGUUCUCUGCUCUGACCUUCUGAAUUAGAGAAGAGCUGCAUGGAGGGCUGAAGACGUCCUGAGCACCCGAGCGCGAGAAUACCUCAGCAUCAGAGAUCAGGGAGAAGAGCCACAUUUCCAUCGGACUGGACGGUCCCCUGCUGUCCACCGGCCUCGGCAUCUCUGCUCUCCAGACAUUUAAAGACACUGUCAACGGCAUCCGGGAUUGGCAAAGGACAGGUGCAGGUCAGAUCUGGCCGGUGGCCUCCCUUACCCAACCUCUCGUGGCAAGAAUGGCUUUUACAUUUUUAUUAUUAUCAGUUUAUACAUUUUUUUGAAGUUUAUUUAUUUUUGAGAGAGAGACAAAGAGAACGCGAGCAGGGGAGGGGCAGAAAGAGAGGGAGACAGAAUCCGAAGCAGGCUCCAGGCUCCGAGCUGUCAGCACAGAGCCGGAUGCGGGGCUCGAACCCACGAACCGUGAGGUCAUGACCUGAGUUGAAGUCGGACGCUCAACUGACUGAGCCACCCAGGUGCCCUGUUUUUACAUUUUCAAAGGGUUGUUAAACACACACACACACACACACACACACUGAACAAAGUAGGCCGUGCUCCAGAAAUUCUACAUGGCCCCCCAAACCUCCCAGUUUUACAUUUGUUUCCAUACAGAAAAAGUGUGCUGGUCUGUGUCGUAGAAAGUCUACAUUAUUCAAGGAGCUUACCAAGUAAGAGUGCCAGCAUCGUGCAUCGUCCUCUACCUGAAUUCCUUGCCAAGUCAGAGCAGGAGGAGAGUGCAGCCUUCCUCAUUAAGGAAAACGACAGAAACAAUGUAAUCGGAAGUUGGAAAGCACGGUGGAGUCAUAGGACUGAGCAGCUAUGGGGAGCUGAGCUACCCAGGUCUUAGGGAAAAGAAAUACAGGUCUCCAGACCCUCAGGGCCCACUGAGGCUGCCUGCGGUCAGACGCCUGCUACCUUCUGCCAUCCACACCUCCUCCGGGCAGCCAGAGAUUAGGUCUGGGCUUAUAUUAAAUCUCAGGUUAGGGGAACCUGGGUGGCUCAGUCAGUUGAGCGUCCGACUUCGGCUCAGGUCAUGAUCUCGCGGUUCGUGAGUUCGAGCCCCGUGUCAGGCUCUGUGCUGACAGCUCAGAACCUGGAGCCCGCUUCGGAUUCUGUGUCUCCCUCUCUCUCUGCCCCCUCCCCGCUCAUGCUCUGUCUCUCUCUGUCUCUCAAAGGUGAAUAAACGUUAAAAAAUUAAAUCUCAGGUUAAAUAUGAGCUAUUUGUCAUAAGCUUGCCCACUCUUCCUCUUUUCUAUAGAAUAAUGAGAGGAAGGAAACAAAAACCAUAAAAGGCAAACAGUUCUAUUUUUCUCUCACUGGAAGGAAUGCUACUACAUGAACUUUGUAAAAGGAUGAGUCUAUUCAAAAACGUUAUGUGCUUACCUAGCAGUAUUCGGUUCAAACAUCCAAACCCUUAGUUUCAAUGUGUGGUGCUCACUUUAAGUUCUCAAAAUUAUAUUAAGGUUUUAAUGGUUUUGAAAUUGUCCAUUUUCUCUCACGGAUGGCAAUGAGAAGGAGGUUUGUUGAUUUGUUUCAUCUUUGGGCAUCUCAAAUGGGGAUCUGGAUUUGAGUACACACGAAGGGAUUAAAAAUGCAUUAUUACUCAGCACACAAAACAAAUUUGACUCAGAAAUACAGAAAUAAAUGGAAAUCCGUCCUUUAUUUAUUUUUAAGAUUUUAUUUAUUUAUUCAUUUAUUCAUUUUAAACGUUUAUGUAUUUAUUCCGAGAGAGAGCGUGCACGCACCCAAUGCGUGUGAGCAGGGGAGGGGCAGAGAGGGAGAGAGGGAGAGAGAGAAUCCCAAGCAGGCUCUACACUGUUAGCACAAAGCCUGAUGUGGGGCUCAGACUCACAAAUCGUGAGAUCGUGACGUGAGCCAAAACCAAGAGUUGGAUGCCUAACCGACUAAGCCACCCAGGCGCCCCAAGAUUUUAUUUUUAAGUAAUCUCUGCACCCAACGUGGGGCUCGAACUCACAACCCAGAGAUCAAGAGUCACAUGCUCCACUGGCUGAGCCAGCCAGGUGCCCAUCUGUACUUCAUUUAUAAUAAACUUUUCCUUUUGGAAUAAUUUUAUUUGUGGAAAAGUUGCAAAGAUCGUUUGGACCAUGGCCGUGCCUCCUUGUCCCGGCUUUCCCUGACAUUAGCCCCUUAUAACCGCGGGGCCUUGAUCCCCAAACGUUGUCGUGGUCACAGCUCUGUGAACUACUCUACGGCCUUUGUUCAGACGUCACCGGCUCCUCCAUGGAUGCUCUUCUCCUGUCUCAGCGUCCAGUGCAGGACCCCGCGGUCACUCAGAGUCCCCUUCGUGUUCAACUGCACCAAUGACAAUAACGUCUUUAUGCUUGGGAUUUGAAGCAGGAAGACUGACCUCCUGCGUUUGAAGCUCCCUUUCCAAUCUGAUUUCCUUUGAUUCUAAUACAGAAAGACUACAUGAGAGAAAGAGACGAAAAUUUCCCCUGCUUAUGUUAAAGAGCUUUUAAGUAACCAGGGAUCGCCAGACGUCCAGCCCAUACUGACAGAAGGAAACCCUUAGCUAUCUUUCUUAGAGAUGCAAAACUCCUGUAACUGGCAAGUUCUUCCUACAUUCCAAAUUAAGUCCUUUCUGUGGCCGUGGUAAAAAUUAAAAAUGUAAUCGUG